rnacentral:ncRNA from 1 species
UGAGAUAGGGGCGUUUAAUAGGGAAGUCUGGGCUAAUUGCCCCGCAGCCCCCGCUGCCGUUUCAGCGGUGCCGCCCGCCACUGUAAAAUGCCGCUUUUUGCGGUAAUAUGGGAAGGCGUGCGGUUUUAUAAGCCGCUGUUUUAAGCCGGAAGACCUGCCGUAUGCGUUU